UACAGAGGUGGCAAGCGUUGUUCGGAAUUACUGGGCGUAAAGGGCGCGUAGGCGGUCCUGUAAGUCUUGUGUGAAAUCCCUCGGCUUAACUGAGGAACUGCACGAGAUACUGCGAGACUUGAGUUCGGGAGAGGUGAGUGGAAUUCCUAGUGUAGAGGUGAAAUUCGUAGAUAUUAGGAAGAACACCAGUGGCGAAGGCGGCUCACUGGCCCGGUACUGACGCUGAGGCGCGAAAGCGUGGGGAGCAAACAGG
rnacentral:rRNA from 1 species